UGGGGAAUAUUGGACAAUGGACCAAGAGUCUGAUCCAGCAAUUCUGUGUGCACGAUGACGUUUUUCGGAAUGUAAAGUGCUUUCAGUUGGGAAGAAGAAAAUGACGGUACCAACAGAAGAAGUGACGGCUAAAUACGUGCCAGCAGCCGCGGUAAUACGUAUGUCACAAGCGUUAUCCGGAUUUAUUGGGCGUAAAGCGCGUCUAGGUGGUUAUGUAAGUCUGAUGUGAAAAUGCAGGGCUCAACUCUGUAUUGCGUUGGAAACUGUGUAACUAGAGUACUGGAGAGGUAAGCGGAACUACAAGUGUAGAGGUGAAAUUCGUAGAUAUUUGUAGGAAUGCCGAUGGGGAAGCCAGCUUACUGGACAGAUACUGACGCUGAAGCGCGAAAGCGUGGGUAGCAAACAGGAUUAGAUACCCUGGUAGUCCACGCCGUAAACGAUGAUUACUAGGUGUUGGGGGUCGAACCUCAGCGCCCAAGCAAACGCGAUAAGUAAUCCGCCUGGGGAGUACGUACGCAAGUAUG
rnacentral:rRNA from 1 species